CCUGUCUCGCUCAGGCAGGGAACACGAGAAAGAGGGAGCGAGAUCGGUGCACCGCUCCCUUAUAAAUACCGACCUCGGUUGCCGUUUCUCAUCUCAUCGCCCUCCCCCCCGCCUCAUCAUUUGAUCGCUGCCUCCUUCGCUUCCUCUGGUUGUUCUCCUUCGGCAUCUCGAGACUCCUGGGAUUACCGAGUUUGGGUUGAAGGUUCGGUGCAGAGGCAAAAGGAUCGCACUGCUCGAUCUCGGAGGCCGACAACUUCGACCUGGAAGCCGUUCGAUGAUCGGUCAUUAGGCGAGAUCUCGACGACGGCAAAUCUCAGGCCGGUCGGUAGCUGUGGAAGCAUGUACUCCUCGGGCGCGGGGCGAUCGUUGCUGGACACGCCAGCCUCAUCGAAUCGGGAUUCGUUGAAGCCUCACGCGAUGGUUCGAUCGGUAGUUUUCUUCCGAGGGCUGCCGGUGGGGGCAUGAUAGCACAUGAGAUCAUGCCUCGAAGGAGGCUUUUGAUUAUGAUCAGUUACUCUUGCUUGCCCUCCUGCGGCUCCUCUUCAUCGUCAGGCCAGCUGAAGCCUGCAUCGAAAGCUGAUGAUGGUGGAACCCUUGCCAUCCUGACGAUCUGAGUUAUAUCUGCCACACUCUGAAGGGAAUAGGUGGGCAUGUUGUCAUCCUUCUUGCGGGUUGGCCACAAAGAUCCGAGAGAGAAGAUGCCUGCAGUCCUGGGAGAGAUGAACAUAUUCGGGCCCCACAAUGUCUUCAAAAUAUCCACAAAACCAGUCUGAAGAGAAUCAAUUUAUGAUGCUCACCUUUCCAUCGUACUCUCGCUGGGAGAGGACCUCAGGAGCAAUGUAUGCAGGGCUUCCCACCGUCGAUUUCGGCCGCGAGUGAAGCACAGAUGACUAAAUUCUCCACACGAAAAGUCGCAGAUCUUGAGUCGAGGUGCCGGGCUGCCAUCAAGCAGAGUGUUCUCCAUCUUCAGGUCUCGAUGGCAAAUUUGCUUGGCAGUAGCUGACGCCGCAGAUGAGCUGCUGAAAGAAGUACCUCGCCUAGAGAUGCAGCAACAGAGCUUUAGAGCAGAAUCAACAAGGAAGAAGAUGAAGGGAGGGGUAAUACCUCGUCCUCGCUGAAUCUUCCCGUCACGCAGAUCCGCUCGAAGAGCUCUCCACCGGCGGCGUACUCCAUGACGAUCCCCAGAUGCGUGGGCGUGAGCACAACCUACAACGACGGAACAAGAGAUCAAGGAACCGAUCUUUCUCGUUCCUCAAGAGGUACGUCGACGAAUCAUGAAACCCUAAGCAGACGCGACGAGGAGCCAAAGCCCACCUCCUUGAAUCUGAUAAUAUUGGGAUGCCGAAGCGACCGGUGAUUGAUGAUCUCCCUCGCCACCUUCUCAUCGAUCUAACCCCUCGCAAAGAAUUCAAGAAACAAGAAACACGAUAGUGCUCCGUUCUGAACGACCAAAUCCCACGAGAAGAUGACAUCGGAAGAGGGCCAAAGAACGAACCUUUUCACCUCUGGGGAUGUACUUCAUGGCGACGAGCUCCUUGGUCUCCUUGUUCCGCAUCAACCGGGCGACUCCAGAGUUCCCCGACCCGAUAUCUCUCACCACCUCGUACUUCUCCAUCCCCUUGCCUUCCGGCAAUCUUCCCCGGGGGUAGAGGUCGAUCGGCCGAUCUUUGCGCGACGACGAAAGCCGGAUGCUCGUCGAGGCUCGGCCAAAGACCAACCGAGGAGGAGGAGGAGGAGGAAGAGGAGGAAGAGGAAUCUGGCCUUCUACCUCUCGGUCGUCGUCUUCUACGAUGCGAAUCGUGUGAGGAAGAAUCUCGGGUAUAUCUCUGCGUCGCGCUCGCCUUCCUUCGAUCACCGCUUUCCGGGGGACGAGAACAAACCGAUGCGAUAAAUAUGAGUCUCCGGCAGAGAAAUAGGAAGAAAAAGAAUAGGUUUACGUUUUAUGGCCUAAAUUACAUAUUUGCCCAUGCAAUGUACGGUUUCGAGGACUCUCUUAGUGUUAGAGAUCAUAAUGGCCAUUGCAUUACGAGGCAAUAACAGACAAGAACAACAAGAAGGCUGUUAAAGGGUA